UGCAGAGUAAAUGUGGUCCAGAGUCCAGUUAUAAUGCAGUUGGGUGCUGGCACAUUGUCUUUGCAGGGUACAGAUAAAAGUACUGUUUGGUAAAUGGAACACCCCCUUUAGAGACCUACAGGUCUACAGAUAUAAAACAAUUAACAGUCACCAGUCAGCCUAACUUGGACAAGUUAUCCAAGUUAUAAACUCACUCAGACACAAGGAGAACAUGCAGACUCAGAAAAGCACAGAAAAGCCCAGGGUUUGAACCCAGAAGUUUCUUGCUGUGAAGCAGCAGUGCUGACACCCUGAUUCAAAUACUUAGGACAAAAUAUGUUCCACUGUUUGUCAGGCUGCACAUGCUGUGAAGCUCAAGAAUCUGAAUAUAUUCUGUGGAUAAUUAUUUUGAAGUAACAGCGGAGUACAGUGGAGAGGCUUCGCUGCUUGCUCUUGCCUUUGCUUGCAUAUUUUUACUGAUAUUCUUGUUUUUUUGCUGCGAGAAAAUACAAGCAGUGGCUGAAACUCUAAUUUUUGUGGACAUAGGUGGCUGUUGCAAUAUUUCAAUAUUUUGUAUGACCUCCUCAGUACAGUGUGAGCAUGGCCUACCAACAGCAUAAGCCUGCAUUGCAGUGACUGGAUGCAUAGUACUUAGCCAAGGCUAAUUAACAGCAAGAUGCCCGUCUUCUCCAUUUUUUCAGAAGACUGAGCUGGAAACCAAAAUUCACUGGUUAGAAAAGAAAACAGAGGACACAGCCAUGGAUGACAGUGAAUAGGAGAACAGAUUUGCUCUCCUAAUGCAGGACCCGUCUGAUGACCUGCAUAACCUUUCAUCCUCACAGGAGAGGUUAAGGACUGAGAGUAAAUCAGAAAAUAAAAAGCUCUGGUUGUGGGUGACUUUGCUUUAAAAAAUGUGAGAAGAAAUGGCAGUAAAAACACCAAAGUACUCUGUUUUCUCUGACAUGAUGGAAAGAAUUUGGUAUAUUGUGGCUGCACAUCCAACUGAAAAACUUCACACUGCACACGGACAAAUGAUGUUGUAGCAGCAGUCUGAAAUUCUGAGAAGAGACUUUGAUCUGCUGAAACCAGUCAGCUCUCUGAAUGCUGAGGUGGUCAUCAGCAGCCUUCUACCACCAGUCAGAGGAGGAGCUGAGAGAUUCAUCAGAUUGUUGGCACUGAACACAUGGUUGUUAACUGUAUAUACCAUCCAUUCAGUGAACCUAAUUGACAAUUUCAACUUUUCUGGGACCAAAGACAUUUGAAGGCAGAUGGACUUUGCCUUAACAAAUCAGGAGUAAAGCUCUUCAUCUCUAUCCUGUUUUUCUUCCUGAGUCACCCAUCUGUACCCACUGCCAAGGGCAGGAGGAAUCAAAACGGGAAGAAGACACAAGUUGCAGAAACCCUGAAGGUGAAUCACCCCAGCCACUGUUUGAAGUAAGUGUUAAUCAUGAGAAACAUCAGAGCAAAGAGAAAGAAGAUUCUAUAACCCCCAACCCAACAGCUGUCCGUGAGGAUCGCCCUCCUCUCCAGGUAGUUUCCCCCUCCUCCCCCCUCCUAGAGUUCACUGACAGAGCUGCAAAAGAGCAGAUCUUAAUUGAGCAUUCAUUCCUUGUUAACCAAAGUCUAUCCCACCAAACUGGACAGACAAUGCUUUCAACACAUUAAACUUAACUAUAUUAAACACUAGGUCUUUGGCAGGAAAAAACUUUUUUUUUAAAUUCAAUCAAUGAUUUUAUUAUCAAGUACAACCUUGAGUGUAUGCUUUUAAAGACAGCAGUCCAGCUGUUCUUAUCAAGUCAAUGUCUCCCAACUUCAGUUUUAUGAGUGAAGCUAGAGUGCAUAAAAAAGGAGAUGGAGUUACCAUCUUGUUUAAUGAUUCCCUCCAAUGCAAGAAGACAUCUGAUGAAGUUUUGUUUCUUUUGAACAUGUGGCUCUUCAGUUGAAUUCCUUCUCUCAAGCUAUGUUCCUAAAUAUCUAAGGCCACCUAAAUACUUGUUGAUGGUGAUUUUAAUAUCCUUGUUGACAAGCCCCAGGACAGAGACACUAAAGAACUGUGCAGUGGUUGGAUAACUAUGGACUAACUCAGCAAAUAUGUAAAUAUUUGCAGAAAAAGCAGAAUAUUCUAGAAGGUAUAAAGAGUAGAAAAAGCUGAAUAGAAGAAUAAAUGUUCUGUAAAAGCUGAACAUUUUGAUAGUAUGCAUUCUGACAGUAUGCAGGAGUAGUUAGUGACUGAAAAGUGGCAGAAGGAUAAAAAUAAAGAUUUCUGAACAAUAGUGUGAAUGCUGAGUCAGCAACUAAUCGCAAAUGUUAUUGAUGCUAUUGAACCCACCAAGGUGGAGGUGGUCCCUGAGAAGAAAAGAUCUCCAUGGAGAAAUGCCACACCGGUCAGAAUAGAAAAAAGGGAGUUGUGGAAAUCUGAAACAGGUGGCAAAAACCCUCCUGUGUCAUUAGGCUCUGAACUUCUGUUCAGCAGGGCCUGCAUUGAAUUUGCCUCCAUCUUCACUGAUAAGAUUAAGAAAAUUAGUCAGUCAGUGCCCCCAGGAUAUGUGUUGACCUUACCCUCUUAAAAUCAAUUACUGCCACUGCCUUUCAUUAAUCAUGGUAAUCACUCAUUUCUUAUACGGCACUGUAACUUUUGUAUUUUUAUUUUCCAUUCCACUUUUAUAUUUCUUAUUUUUAUUUUCCAUUUAACUCUUUAUUUAUUAAUUAAAUGCUUUUUUAUAUUGUCUUACAUUGCUUUUAGGUUUCGUCUCAAUGUCUUUUAUGUUAUGUAAAGCAAUUUGAAUGAUUUUGUUGUUGAAAUGUGCUGUACAAAUAAACUUGUCUUGCCUAAAUGUGGCUUAGAGUGAAGGGUCCUGGGAGAAAUGACACAACUCUAAAUUGUUUUCUAUUUGAAAUACAGAUGUAUCAUUUUAAACAAUGUAUUUAUGAUGAUGGUCUUGUGUCAUAAUGGACUGGGGACCAGAUUCAAAUGGCUCAUAACUAUGAAUACAAAGUAGAUGGAUGUGUUGAAUGUUAUAAUUAGUGACCAACCUGAAAUAGCACGUGUUUGUGGUGAUGACAGCACAUCACAGAGCUUCAUCAGGUUCAUGAAAAGACACAAAGACUUCUAUCAGUCUGAUGAAGCUCUGAGCAAAACAGCUGUUCUCAGUGCUAUUAAAGAACAUUUGUUUUUAUGUGUUGUUGCUACCACAGACACUGAACCACUGAAUGUGCUUUAUUUUUCAUGUUGCAGUUUCUUGUUCCUCCAGCUCUGCUCAUGCUGUAAAUGAAACUUUUUCUCUUUUUAACUAAGUAAUAUACUGUAUGUUUCUUUACUGUGUGUUCUUUCAUUUCCAUGUAGACUUUUACGUGAACUAAUGUACUUUUGUAAAAUUAUUUUAUAUAUUUUUUUGAAAAAGUGAGAGAAAAAUCUUGAGUCAAGGACCAUGUCAGUUGGUUCUAAGUAAAUACGGGUUAUUUUCUAACCUUGGUACUGACCUUAAGUCUGUCAUUUAUAGUCUCUUUGGAGGACAGAGAAAACAGGUUCUUUUGUGCUGAAAGCUAAUAAAAGCCCACAUACUGUGCCCUUUA